UAAAUACUUAAAAUUUAAAAGAUUUGGCGGUAAUUUAAUCUCACCAGAGGAACCUGUUCUUUAAUCGAUAAAACACGUUAAAUCUCACUCGUCUUUGUUCUCAGUUUGUAUACCGUCAUUAGCAGUUAAUCAUUAGAGGGAAUUAAUAAGUAUAAUUGUUUAUAAGAAAAUUAGAUCAAGGUGCAGCUUAUAGGCGAGAUAGGAUGGGUUACAAUAAAUUACUAUUAGAUGGAAUAACAAAGGAAGAGUUUGUUAUCAAGGUGGAUUUGGUUGUACUAUAAACUAAAAAGUUUAAAAGAAAUGAGCACUAAAUUAUGUACAUAUCGCCCGUCGCUUUCAUUUAAAAGUGAAAUAAGUCGUAACAUAGUAGAUGUACUGGAAAGUGUAUCUGGAAUAGU
rnacentral:rRNA from 1 species